rnacentral:rRNA from 1 species
GGGUCAGCAGGUUGGUCGUGCCACCGGUACGUACUGGUCUCACUGAUUCCUCCUUCCUGAAGAACCGUAAUGCCAUUAAUUUGGUGUUGCGGGGAAACAGGACUGUUACAUUGAAAAAAUUAGAGUGUUUAAAGCAAGCUAACGCUUGAAUACAUUAGCAUGGAAUAAUGAAAUAGGACGAUCGAUCCUAUUUUGUUGGUUUCUAGGAUUGACGUA